CGGAGUCCUUGCUGUUGGUGAUGUCCUUAAGGACAUGCGGCGGCCCCGCAGCACACUUUCAAAGUAGAGCAAAGCUGAAGGCUACUAAUAAACGAGAGGUCAGCUAUGGAUACUCGGCUGCGAGAAUUUUUAACAGAGCGCAAAGUUGAAGAAGAUGUGAUCAAGAAACUUGAAGAUGAGAAUAUUGAUGAAACUGUCAUUCCCUUAAUGACAGACAGUGACCUGGCAAAGUACAUCCCCAAAGUUGGCGAUAGAGUCUCCACUGUGGCCUUCUGCAGACAAGCAACACUGUCACGGACGUCACCAUCCAGGAAAGAAUCUAUACUCUCAAGGCUACGACAAAGACUGACAGGAGCUGAGGGAAUGCCUCCUAAAAAGAG
ensembl:lncRNA